UUAAUAAACAUGAAAUAACUUGAAUCAAACUGAAAUAAUAAUUUUUACAAACUAAAGAACCGAAAUCUACAAAGAAGAACACAACAGAAUUUCAGUAAAAAUUCGGACACAAAUUUGACUCUAACUUUGGACAGCAAUUUUACCCUCUUCUAAGCCUCCCCUGGAUAUGGCUAUUAGAGACAUAUUUAUAGGCAAUUAUGUUAGCUUUCCAGAUCAUUAAAGAACAGCUCAUUUGGACAUCUGAGUCAACAGUUAUGGGCAAAACACCGAAAGGUGUUCUGGAAAAUUAAAUCAGGCCAGCUUGGAGAACACUUUGGUGCACGUUUUUCUUCCUCCUUUAUGAGCUGUUUCUUUCUUCUUUUUGACCCAAAAUAAUGUCACAAUGUCCCCUCCAGCUUUCCAUCCAUGUGCUUGCCCUCUUGGAUCAAUUAAUUGCCCAAAAUAAAUCAAAUGUUAUUUGUUGUGUGGACAUGUAAGAUCAUGGAUUGUGCUUGGGCUGAUUUGGAGGCUGAUUUGGGGCUGAUUUGGGGCUGAACUUGAGGCUGAAUUUGAGCAUCAAAUAAGUAUACAAAUGUACAUAUUAUUUGGGCUAAGAUUGACAUUGAAACCUUGAGUGUUUGAUGGUUGAAGUUUGCACACAACAUAAGGCAAGUUUGGGCUUGAAAUAGAUCAUAUGAUAUUCUUUUCUAGAAUUGGAAUAGAAUUGAUUUUUGGGGCAAAUUUAGAGCACUAAUUUGAACCAAGAUUUGCUUCAAUCUUCAACUAAAUUUCUCUUCAAUUCUUUGUUCCGAAUUCUAACGUUGAAUUUUCUGAAAUAAUUCAUUUAAGCUCCAAAAACCUAUCGAAACAUUAAAAGAAACUUCAUUACUAAAAAGCACAUCACUUAUUAUAAAAACCCAAAUAAAAACAAUAAAUACAUAUGUAAAAUAAAAGACUUAAUGAUACUUUUGAUGCACAAUCAGUGAGUGAGGAAACAUAUUUUCUUUACCACUAACUAGUUUUUUUUUUUUUUGGAUUUAAGGAUGUGAAAGUUAU
rnacentral:lncRNA from 1 species